rnacentral:rRNA from 1 species
UACGUAGGGUGCAAGCGUUAAUCGGAAUUACUGGGCGUAAAGCGUGCGCAGGCGGUUCUAUAAGACAGAUGUGAAAUCCCCGGGCUCAACCUGGGAACUGCAUUUGUGACUGUAGAGCUGGAGUGUGGCAGAGGGGGAUGGAAUUCCGCGUGUAGCAGUGAAAUGCGUAGAUAUGCGGAGGAACACCGAUGGCGAAGGCAAUCCCCUGGGCCUGCACUGACGCUCAUGCACGAAAGCGUGGGGAGCAAACAGG